CCUUUACGGAAAUACUCUUAAUUUGCUUCAUAACAACUCUAUAUAAAAGGUGUUGGAAGGUUAACCUUUGAAUCAAGGCAUCUUGAAUCAACAUUCAACAUCCCUCUGUCUGUGUUUUUGUUUCACACGCGUGCACGUACACACACAAAAAUCAAGAUGGAGGGAUCCAAACGUAUGUUUUCAACUGUCUUCAUCCUCGUCCUGCUCCUUGUGGCUAUUGGUAUCUCUCUCUUUCCUCAUUUUAAUUUCAUCUUUAUAUUUGAUUAGUGAUAUAUUUCUUUCCAAUGCUCAAAGACGUUUCAAGUUUGAAUCCACCUUCUCUCAUUCAUUUUUAUCGAUGAAUCUUUGGCAGGGACGGGUCCAAUGGUUGCUGAGGGCAAGGUCGAAACAAAGGAGACGUCGAGGACUUGUGAGUCUUUGAGCACGAAAUUCAAGGGACCUUGCUUCCGAUCAAGCAACUGUGCAAAUAUUUGCGAAAAAGAAGGCUUCAAGGGAGGCAAAUGUGUUGGCUUCAGGCUGAGAUGUACGUGCACUAAGAAAUGUUAGUGAUAUAACACACUAAGUUAUUUUGGUGCAUGGGAUUGAGGUGAAUGAAAAUUUAUGGCCCUUUUUUUCUUUUUUAUAAGAGAAUAAAUGACUAACCCUAAUAUAAAUUUUGGGGUUGUGUCCGUGUUUUUGGUCUUAUGUGUUAACAUGCGUGAGUUAUUUUGUAAUCAAUAAAAUAAAUAGCAAAAUAUCGUUCAUUUCUUAAUGUAAUGAUACUUUUUUUUCUCUAUACAAAUGUGAUCUUUCUAGCAUUACUUUAAACUUUUUACCAAUGCGUAAUGUUGAUUAUACUAUUUGUAACUUUAGGGGCUGCUUUUGUUAGUUUUUAGAGGCCAUGAACCAACUCUCACUCACCUCAAGCUACAGAGAUGCGAAACGUAAUUGAUCCAAAUUAGUUAUAUGUACAACAAUGGAAACUUUCAUAUCCACAUCACUAAGUGACUUAAUAUGGCGCACAAAAUUUUUUGUUUUUUUUUGGAGAAAUUUUAGGAUUGCAUUUAUAAUUUAGCCAAAAAAAAAAAACCACUAGUUAUAAAGGGCCAUUACAAUAACGGAGCGGUCUAACAUCAAAAUUAAAACAAUCUGGUGCACCUCCACUAACAAUCACUCAGGAUCGAAGAAACUCUAGCAUAGGCAUCCCAACUAAGAUUGCAAACUCAGAAUAAUCAAACAGAGAUAAAGCUUGAAAAAAUCAAGCCAUAACAAUACAAAUAAAACUCUCAUAAAGGAGAGAUGAAAAGCUCUCACAAAAGAGAGAUGAAAAUCUCUCAUAGAUGAGAGGUGAAAAGCUCUCACAAAAGGAGAGCUGAAAACUACACAGACAACCCAAAGAGUCUCUAUGACUUAUUCUGAACAUAAAGAAACCGCAAAAAGGAUGGUGGUGGAGAUCCGAUGCCGAAACGCAUGUGGAGAUCCGACGCCGAGACGCAGUCGCCUGUGAUGGUUGGAGGAAAAUCAUAACAAAAUGAAGACAAACAGGGAAAAUCUUUUGUCUCUGAAAAUGUGGGGAGAGAAGAGAAGGAGGAAGAGAAGAGGGGAAAGAGGAGGAAGAAUAGUGGAUUCCUCCCCUGUCAAAGUGAACUUGUCAUUUUCUUAUUGGUUCUUAGUGUGUUAAAAUUUUAUAAGAAGCAAUUAGUCAUUAGAAAAUGAUAAGUGACUAUUUUUGGGUUUUUCUCUCCAAAUAGGCUCUAAGAAAUUUCGUGUAUAUCCAUGUUAGAAUGGGUCUACUUGUGGAAAGCCCUUUUUUUUUUUUUUUUUUUGGUGAUUUAACGACAACGAUCCUUGAACUUAGACAAGUUUCAUUUUGGUCCAUCAAUUUCUGCACGAGUUCUAAUUUAGUUAAUUUAGUAUAAUAAUUAAAAAAAAUUGUUUGUUUUUUAAAGAUUAUUGUAUCCAAAUUAUUAGUUUUAUCCCUCAGUUUUACCGAAUUUGAAAAAAUAACUAAAUUGGAACACGUACGAGAUCUAAAGGACCAAAAUAAAACUAGAUAUAAAUUUAGGGAUCAUUGCAGUUAAAAAAACUUUGAAUUUUACUAGCAAAAUGAAAAGCCAAGAGAAUAAUUAUGAAAAAUAUAUAUAAAGAUUAGGCAUGUGAUAUUUCUAGUUAGGUGGUCACUGCACCUAGUGGAUUAGAUUCCACAUUGAGUAUCCAUAUCGAUUGGUAAUUAUCUUUUGUCAAGACAAUAGAAAAUGGUUUAAUUUUUACAAUAGUUCUUGCAUGCUAAUCAAUUACCAUAUCCGAAUAAAAUGACAUAAUAUAUUCUUGCUGGCGACUUAUAGUUCGCAUUCAUGUUUGUAUUGGACUCGACUCACAAAGAUUCAGAAGCUUUUUAAACCAAAAGAAAAUUGAAGAAAUAGAAGGAAAUCUUAUACAGGAACAUGAUUGUUUUGUCAUAAAAUUUAGGUUGGAGGCUAUGAUUUCAGCAACUUCCUUUUGUUACCAACAAAUAAAGAAAAGGGUGGGGGGAAAGUAAUUAAAGGAGGCACGUCAAAAUAAUGGGGCUUUUAAAAUAUAUAUAUAUAUAUAUAUAUAUAUAUAUAUCAAGGGGCAAGUCUAUUUAAAUAAUGCUUGAAUAUGUGCUGUUAAGUUUUCUUUUUGAAAAUUAGUGAUAAUUGUAUUCAAUAAUUGGACACAAAGAUCAAAUACUCAUAAAGGGUUAGUAUAAAGAUGUAUGCACAGUAACUGCAGAGGGUUAAUCAUAUAUAAGAGGAUACACUGGCGACAUUCACAACUUGUAUCUCCACUAAUAGCCCUAAAAGACCAAAUAUAUUUCAAUGUAACAGUCACAUGCCUGAGCAAAUCAGACAUGCAAUACAACGCCCAAAAUUAAAAAUACAACGACAACUAACUCUCACAAGUAGAGACUAAAACACAAAUAAACACCCAACUCACAAAGAGUUGUUGGUUUCAGUAUUUUAAAAAGUAGGAAAAUUACCCUUAAAAUUAUAAAUUAUUACACUAUUGACCCUUUUGUGCGUCAAAUUACAAAUGAUUAAAAAAUUGACAUAUCUAUAUGAAAAAAAAAGAAGAAUUGACACAUCACCUAUACUAGAAGGUUAAAUAGAAUCUGUCCAACAAAUAAAAGGUUAAAUAGAAGGUUAAAGAUUUUCUAUAAGUUCUUAUUUGUUGUCCAUAUGACAUGUUAAUUCAGGUUUAUCAUCCAUGUCCGCAUAAAAUGGGCUAAUGAAGUGUUAGGUAAAAAUAGCAAAGGUUCCCUCCACUCUCUAUUUUUCACCGGUGUACCGCCCUUUACGGAAAUACUCUUAAUUUGCUUCAUAACAACUCUAUAUAAAAGGCAUUGGAAGGUUCACCUUUGAAUCAAGGCAUCUUGAAUCAACAUUCAACAUCCCUCUGUCUGUGUUUUUGUUUCACACGCGUGUACGUACACACACAAAAAUCAAGAUGGAGGGAUCCAAACGUAUGUUUUCAACUGUCUUCAUCCUCGUCUUGCUUCUUGUGACUAUUGGUAUCUCUCUCUUUCCUCAUUUUAAUUUCAUCUUUAUAUUUGAUUAGUGAUAUAUUUCUUUCCAAUGCUGAAAGACGUUUCAAGUUUGAAUCCAAAUUCUCUCAUUCAUUUUUAUCAAUGAAUGUUUGGCAGGGACAGGUCCAAUGGUUGCUGAGGGCAAGGUCGAAACAAAGGAGACGUCGAGGACUUGUGAGUCUUUGAGCACGAAAUUCAAGGGACCUUGCUUCCGAUCAAGCAACUGUGCAAAUAUUUGCGAAAAAGAAGGCUUCAAGGGAGGCAAAUGUGUUGGCUUUAGGCUAAGAUGUACGUGCACGAAGAAAUGUUAGUGAUAUAACACACUAACUUAUUUUGGUGCAUGGGAUUGAGAUGAAUGAAAAUUUAUUGCCCUUUUUUUCGUUUUGUUUAAGAGAAUAAAUGACUAACCCUAAUAUAAAUUUUGGGAUUGUGUCCGUGUUUUUGUUCUUAU
rnacentral:lncRNA from 1 species